CUAAUAGUUCUUACACGUUUGUUCUGCUAUUAAUGACUGAUUUGACCUUUUUAAAACUCCUGCUCAUUCUAACCUUUGUGGAAUUGUUUUCUUGCAGUGCUGAGGAUCAACUCUAUGACCGACUUAUUCUAAAAUCGAUCAAAGAUGAAGACUCUAGUGGAAGGAAAUCUGUGUCCAGUGUUGAGACUGUCUCAGUGAGAAGCACCUCCAUUGGGGCUGAUGAUGAUUUUGACUCCUAUAGAACCAAAUCUCUUUCAUCAGAUCGAUCAUCUUCCCUCACCAGAGGAGAAAGUCCAACGAUGAGUUCAAAGACUUCCAUCCACAACUACAGCUCUUACACUGAAGAGUCUCCUGUCACCACCACCACCACCACCUA
rnacentral:lncRNA from 1 species